rnacentral:lncRNA from 1 species
CACUGACGGAAAAUUGAAAUACAAUAAAAUGUAAAGGAAAACUGUAACAAGUGCUAAUGCUCUUUAAAGGAAUUUAACAGUAAAGGAAUGGAAAUAAUGAACGAGUAGUUUGGACUUUCGAGAGGUCCAGUGCUCUCCUAUGCGUCCCACCCAAUUUCUGCAUGCCUUUUCUCUUUCCUCUGGUUCUCGUUUAUAGAUCCCCUUUCAUAACCACUUUGCUAAUGACCUUAGAGCUUCCCAUGUGCUGGUUGAGUAUCUUUGAUUUGUUUUUCCUUUUCUGCCCUUAUGGUUUUCUUGCGUCUGCUGUACGUUAACUGAAUCGGCGAAUUAUCAAUACUCCUCCCCAUGAAACUCACUUUGUCCUCAAGGUGAAACUCC